GAACGCAUACGCCUAGGAUCAUGAAACUUCAUAGGUAGAUUGAUCAUGACUCACAGAUGACCCCUAUUGAUUUUGAGGUCACUAGGUCAAAGGUCAAGGUCACGGUGACCCGAAAUAGUAAAAUGGUUUUCGGAUGAUAACUCAAGAACGCAUACGCUUAGGAUCAUGAAACUCCAUGGGUAGAUUGAUCAUGACUAGCAGAUGACCCCUAUCAAUUUUGAGGUCACUAGGUCAAAGGUCAAGGUCACAGUGACCCGAAAUAGUAAAAUGGUUUCCGGAUGAUAACUCAAGAACGCAUACACCUAGGAUCAUGAAACUUCAUAGGUAGAUUGAUCAUGACCUGCAGAUGACCCCUAUUGUUUUUGAGGUCACUAGGUCAAAGGUAAAGGUCACGGUGACCUGAAAUAGUAAAAUGGUUUUCGGAUGAUAACUCAAGAACGCUUUUGCCUAGGAUCAUGAAACUUCAUAGGUAGAUUGAUCAUGACUCGCAGAUGACCCCUAUUGAUUUUAAGGUCAAAGGUCACGGUGACCCGAAAUAGUAAAAUGAUUUUCGGAUGAUAACUCAAGAACGCUUUUGCCUAGGAUCAUGACACUUCAUAGGUACAUUGAUCGUGACUCGCAGAAGACCCCUAUUGAUUUUCAGGUCACUAGGUCAAAGGUCAAGGUCACAGUGACAAAAAUCGUGCUCACACAAUGGCUGCCACUACAAUGGACAGCCCUUAUGAGGGGCAUGCAUGUUUUACAAACAGCCCUUGUUAACCAGGUUUUCCGAAGGAAAAAACAGGUUAUUAGAUUGGCGAAUGCGGGCGGGCUGGCUGGCGGGCGGGCGGAACAAGCUUGCCCGGCCAUAACUAUGUCGUUCAUUGUCAGAUUUUAAAAUCAUUUGGCACAUUUGUUCACCAUCAAUGGACGGUGUGUCGCGCGAAAUAAUUACGUCGAUAUCUCCAAGGUCAAGGUCACACCU